AUUGAACGCUGGCGGCAUGCUUUACACAUGCAAGUCGAACGGUAACAGGGUGCUUGCACCGCUGACGAGUGGCGAACGGGUGAGUAAUGCGUCGGAACGUGCCGAGUAGUGGGGGAUAACGCAGCGAAAGUUGUGCUAAUACCGCAUACGUACUGAGGUAGAAAGUGGGGGACCUUCGGGCCUCACGCUAUUCGAGCGGCCGACGUCUGAUUAGCUAGUAGGUGAGGUAAAGGCUCACCUAGGCGACGAUCAGUAGCGGGUCUGAGAGGAUGAUCCGCCACACUGGGACUGAGACACGGCCCAGACUCCUACGGGAGGCAGCAGUGGGGAAUUUUGGACAAUGGGCGAAAGCCUGAUCCAGCCAUGCCGCGUGUCUGAAGAAGGCCUUCGGGUUGUAAAGGACUUUUGUCAGGGAGGAAAUCCCUAGUGCUAAUAACACUGGGGGAUGACAGUACCCGUAGAAUAAGCACCGGCUAACUACGUGCCAGCAGCCGCCGUAA
rnacentral:rRNA from 1 species